rnacentral:lncRNA from 1 species
AGGCCAGGCCAGAAGGACCAGGGACUACAAACUCACCUUCAGGGCUCCUAAGCUGCUGCGGAGCUAGACGGCGGGCUGUGGGUGGGGAGGAGACUAGAAUAUUCUGAGACGGGGUCAGGUGGGAGUUGGGAGAGGUAACUUGGAGUUGCUGCCCAAGAUGCAGCUCAGCUCCAGUGGCCACACCAAGACGGUUUAAGACAGAGCGGAACCAGGGAGGUUGUUUUUGGUGGCUGGGGGCUUGGGUUUGAGUUCCUUGAACAGCAGAAGGUGCUUGGAUUUAGGGAGGACGGAGCUGUCCGGAUACCCCCGCAAGGACUCCCUGACCUACUGGAGCUUCGAAGAGACGCCCCAGGUCUGGAGCCACGGCCCGCAGCGGCCGCCCUGUCCGCGCUCCUCCCGGCCGCCCCGACCACCGCGGGUCCGCGUGCCGCGCGUCAGCCCGGUGACCUCGGCCAUGCCGCACCGGGGAGCCCUGUCUCUGGCUCAGGAGUCCUACAGCCCCCUGCUGCACCCGCUCCGGCGGCUCGACCGCUUCUGCCCGCUGGAGGCGCCCUGGGGCGGCCCGCACUGGAAGCCCCUGCGGGGCAUCUACAGCGUGCCGAAAGCCUACAGUACCGAGAACUCCAGCUAUGGCAGCUUGAAGCCGGCGCUGGUGUGAGCCGUCAGGGCCAGCCCCACCCCAGACCCGCCCCCAGGGCCGCGCUGCCGAGCGGAGCUCGGGACCUCCGCUCACUAGGAAGGGUUCCGGACCCAGCCUGAGUCGCACUCAUUACGUCUAUUGGCAACGUGGGGGCGGGACUAGCCCAGACACCCACUCAGCUGCGGCAUCACGGAGAGGGGACUAAGUCCAGAUAAUGUCCUUGCAGGCUGUGGCCCCGGGGGCAAGACACGCACCCUGCGGGCGUAUUAAAUAAUGAGUUAAAUCACCUGAACCACACCCACUUCCGGGGACGCUCCGGGCAUCCUGGCUUGAGGGUAGGGUGGGCGGAGGUCCCUAAGGGAGAGGUGGGGCUCGGGCUUAAUCCCUCCUUGGGGGCAUCUGGGUCAAGUGGCUUCCCUGGCAGCACAGUCACGGGGAGACCCUCUCUCACUGGGCAGAAGCUAAGUCCGAAGCAGCGCCCCUCCUGUUAGGUUGGACUGUGGUGCAGGAAAGCCUCAAGUGGAGGGUUGAGGCUUCAGUCCAGCACCUUUCUCGGGUCAUGGCCUCCUCCUGGCUCCCAAGACCCCACAAUUGGCAGAGGCAGGCCUUCCUACACCCUACUCCCUGUGCCUCCAGGCUCGACUAGUCCCUAGCACUCGACAACUGGGUCUCUGAGGUCACUUCACCGUGGUCUCUGCCUCACCUCUGGCGCUAGACCACUGAGGGGAGAGGGCUGGGGCGCUCUGCUGAGCCACUCCUGCGCCUCCCUGGCCAUGUGCACCUCUCGCCCCCGGGGGGAUUAGUGUCCAGGUUACCCCAGCAUCCUAUCACCUCCUGGUGGCCUUGCCGCCCCCACAACCCCGAGGUAUAUAGCCAGAUACACGAGGCAGGGGAUGCACCAAGGAUGGAGAUGCUCCAGGUAAGACUACAGGGCCCCUGGGCACCUUCCACCUCCUUCCAGGCCAUCACUGGCAUGAGAAGGGGCAGACCCGUGUGAGCUGUGGAAGGAGGCCUCUUUCUGGAGGGGCAUGACCCCCAGUAAGCUUCAGGUGGGGCAGUUCCUGAGGGUGGGGAUCUGAAAUGUUGGGGCAUCUCAGGUCCUCUGGGCUGUGGGGUGGGCUCUGAAAGGCAGGUGUCCGGGUGGUGGGUCCUGAAUAGGAGAUGCCGGGAAGGGUCUCUGGGUCUUUGUGGGUGGUGUACCACGCGGGAUGGGAAGGCCAGGACUCGGGGCUGCGGUCUCAGACCUGGGUGAAGCAGUGUCCUUGUCCCAGGGGCUGCUGCUGUUGCUGCUGCUGAGCAUGGGCGGGGCAUGGGCAUCCAGGGAGCCGCUUCGGCCAUGGUGCCACCCCAUCAAUGCCAUCCUGGCUGUCGAGAAGGAGGGCUGCCCAGUGUGCAUCACCGUCAACACCACCAUCUGUGCCGGCUACUGCCCCACCAUGAUGCGCGUGCUGCAGGCGGUCCUGCCGCCCCUGCCUCAGGUGGUGUGCACCUACCGUGAUGUGCGCUUCGAGUCCAUCCGGCUCCCUGGCUGCCCGCGUGGUGUGGACCCCGUGGUCUCCUUCCCUGUGGCUCUCAGCUGUCGCUGUGGACCCUGCCGCCGCAGCACCUCUGACUGUGGGGGUCCCAAAGACCACCCCUUGACCUGUGACCACCCCCAACUCUCAGGCCUCCUCUUCCUCUAAAGACCCUCCCCGCAGCCUUCCAAGUCCAUCCCGACUCCUGGAGCCCUGACACCCCGAUCCUCCCACAAUAAAGGCUUCUCAAUCCGCACUCUGGAGGUGUCUUUCUGUGGGCUCAGGGCAACCACACAUACACAGGGUGGGUGCAGCUUCCCAACCAUUUUAUACAGAGUCACAGUGUCAGAACUCUGG